rnacentral:tRNA from 1 species
GCGUGAGUAGUUCAAUGGUUAGAAUCUUGGCCUUCCAAGCCAAUGAUCCGGGUUCAAAUCCCGGCUCGCGCA